GCCAGGGGGCAAAGAUUGUGGAGGGUCCCGGUAUUCUGCUAAUGGAAGUGAUUGACAUCUGGCUAUCUGUUGUGGAAAUCUCGCAGCCUCUUUGCCCAAACCACAUCUCUUUUUCUGUUUACUGGACGAACAGCAAGACACAGACAGACGGGUGGCAUGAGUCAGAUUGUGCAGGAGUAGGAGUGGAAGGUGCUGAUGCUGGGUUGAAUAAGUCUUGAUAUUAUUGGAUGAAUGGAUGAUUUUAUGCCUGUUAAUAUAUGCUACCUUUUGUGCUUUAGAAUUCGACCCUUAAAGCUGCAGUGUGUUUUUUUCUACUACACCCAAAUUCUAAAAAAUAGUUUUCAAACAGGUUUCCCCAAACACACCUGUAUGCCAUUGUUCAGAC
ensembl:lncRNA